AUUGAACGCUGGCGGCAUGCCUUACACAUGCAAGUCGAACGGUAACAGGUCUUCGGAUGCUGACGAGUGGCGAACGGGUGAGUAAUACAUCGGAACGUGCCUAGUAGUGGGGGAUAACUACUCGAAAGAGUGGCUAAUACCGCAUGAGAUCUACGGAUGAAAGCGGGGGAUCGCAAGACCUUGUGCUACUAGAGCGGCCGAUGGCAGAUUAGGUAGUUGGUGGGAUAAAAGCUUACCAAGCCGACGAUCUGUAGCUGGUCUGAGAGGACGAUCAGCCACACUGGGACUGAGACACGGCCCAGACUCCUACGGGAGGCAGCAGUGGGGAAUUUUGGACAAUGGGCGCAAGCCUGAUCCAGCAAUGCCGCGUGCAGGAUGAAGGCCUUCGGGUUGUAAACUGCUUCUGUACGGAACGAAAAGCCCCGGGUUAAUACCCUGGGGUCAUGACGGUACCGUAAGAAUAAGCACCGGCUAACUACGUGCCAGCCGCCGCGGUAA
rnacentral:rRNA from 1 species